AUAAUUAGGCGAAUUGGGACGCAGGAUCGGACUUACUAACCGUUCUUGCUUUGUUUUCUCUUAUUUUGCACGUUUGUUUUUUUUUUCUUUAACAGCUAAGAAGCUUCCGAAGAAUGAGCUACAGGGAGGACCAGGUCCUGGGGCACGGGCUCGGGGCGGAGUCGACCUGCAGGAGGCGGCACCUCAGGGCAGAUCCGGCCAGUGCUGCGGAGGAGGAAACUAACCGUCCGUCCAGUCAUGUGGAGACCGUGGCCGAGGAUCAACACAGACCCAUUAUCAACCAACUCAUAGUCUGACAGUUAUGUCUAUUCACAGCCCAAGUGGAAAAUCUAGUCGGUUAGACUGUGGCGUCCAUCAGAUUCUGCUUCUGAACUGACCAAAGGGGCCGUUCACAGUUCACUUGUAAAUAUUUUGACCAAUUAUCCCUCCUACUCCUACCCCUAGGCAGAGCCACGACCACCUCUUUAACAGCUGUAUUUAAGAAGCAGCCACCUGUCAAAAGAAAAAUAAAGAUACAUUUGGGGAAUAAGGAGGGAAACUGAUCAAUUCUGUCGCACUUAACCAGAGCUGUGAGGUUCUUGUUCUAGUCUGUAUUCACACACACGUGCGCGCGCACACACACACCAAAUAAAUAAAUAAUCAACACUGCAGCUGGAGGGAAAACAGGCUUCCUUCUACUUUAUAUCCUCAACCUCUCUCUCUCUAUCUCUCUCUCUAUCUCUCUCUCUCUCUAUCUCUCUCUCCCCUCAGUGCGUUCUGAACUUUCACCUCCUCUCUCCGUCUCUGGCACAGCACCUAACAAGUAUUGAAUUCUUCUUUCCUUCCUGAUCUUCUAAUUUCCAGUGAGAGGAGAAAGACACAUGGGAGUGAGAGGAUGUUUUCCCUUCAAGCGCAGCAUUUCUGUAGAUUCUGUAUUAUUCUUGGUUAUCAUUAUUAUUAUUAUUAUUAUUAUUAUUAUUGUAAUUAUGAAUACCACUACUCCAGGUCUAAUGAAUAUAAACGAUAGAUUAGUUCCCCCUAAAAAUCAUUACCGUAGGAGAUCUUGAACUGUGAAUGCGUAACGCAUUAACAGCUAUAACACCAGUGUCUUUAAGCAUUAAUGAAAUGUGAUUUAUCAAAUCGUUCAAUCAAUCGUUCAAGCUGGUGUUUAAACUCGAAUAACGCAAGGCAAGGUUCGCUUCAUCUGACCAAAAUCAUGUGUGUGUAUAGAAAAAAAAACAAACAAACAACAAAAAAAACCUGUUGCUGUAUUUGUACUUUGUAUUUUCUUUCUCUUUUUUUUUUCUUCUCCUGAAAAAGCAUAUCCAAUCAUUAUCCAUCGUCAAUACAAUACCUUCCCAAAACAGAUCAAUCAUCCAUAUAUUUUUUUUUUUCCUCUUUUCUUUUCGGUGAAAUGAUUUUUGUAACUAAGUUGUCUCUGAGUGCACUGGCUGUUUGACUGUCUUAUGAAUUUUUUUUUUUUUUUUUUUUUGGGGGGGGGGUAUUUUUCCAUUCUUCUUAAGGUAAACUGAUAUUUUUCAUCUUGCAAGUUAGCACAACAGAUCAGAACCGCUGCACUGGCCCCAGUUUGAAAGGGUUUGGACAAAUGUUUUUGUGGUCUUCCAUGGAUGGGGGAUGCAAACAACAAUCUUCUACGUGUAAUUUUACCAAUAAAAAUGGGGAAGGUA
ensembl:lncRNA